GACGAAGGGGGCUAGCGUUGCUCGGAAUCACUGGGCGUAAAGCGCACGUAGGCGGCUUUUUAAGUCAGGGGUGAAAUCCUGGAGCUCAACUCCAGAACUGCCUUUGAUACUGGGAAGCUUGAGUCCGGAAGAGGUGAGUGGAACUCCGAGUGUAGAGGUGAAAUUCGUAGAUAUUCGGAAGAACACCAGUGGCGAAGGCGGCUCACUGGUCCGGUACUGACGCUGAGGUGCGAAAGCGUGGGGAGCAAACAGG
rnacentral:rRNA from 1 species